rnacentral:pre_miRNA from 1 species
AGCCUUCUGAGUCCUUGCCGAGAUUUUGUCAAGCACCAGACCAUCAGAAAUGACGAAACUCCUAAGAGAGAUGAUGUG